rnacentral:rRNA from 1 species
UACGAAGUGUGCAGGCGUUAAUCGGAAUUACUGGGCGUAAAGCGCGCGUAGGUGGUUCGUUAAGUUAGGAGUGAAAGCCCCGGGCUCAACCUGGGAAUUGCUUCUAAAACUGGCGAGCUAGAGUAUGGUAGAGGGUGGUGGAAUUUCCUGUGUAGCGGUGAAAUGCGUAGAUAUCAAGAGGAACGCCGAAGGUGAAGACAGCACACUGGACUUGUACUGACGCUGAGGCGCGAAAGCGUGGGGAGCAAACAGGAUUAGAUACCCUGGUAGU